AGCUCUGGAGAUAAGAAGGCCAAAAUGAGUCCUAUGGGGUAUUUGCACAGCCAGUUUCUUCUGGAAGUUUCAAGACGGAGUCUGUUCCUUUCCUUUUCUAGCUUCUAGAGGCAGCCGACACUCCUUGGCUCAUGACCACAUAACUCUGACCUUUGUCUAUUGUCACAUCACUGGCUCUUCUGAUCUCCUACCAGGACCCUUGUGAUUACAUUGGGCCUGCCUGGAUAACUCAAGAUAACUUCUCCAUCUUAAGGUUGUUAAUUGCGUCUGCAGAGUGUCUGUUGCCAUAUAAGUUAACGUAUUCACAGGUUCUAGGAAGAAGGACAUGGACAUCUUCCAGGAAGCAUUAUUCUGUCUACCACAGUAGUACUUUCAAUUGUAUGUUUCCCAGACCAUUCAUCCUUCCCUGCACAAAGUCAAGUUCAUCAGUGUUUCUCCUAAAGUGUGAUGUUGUUUAUCAUCAACGUACAUAUAAAGCAAAGACUUCCUAAUUCUGCACUUUGCAGCUGGUAUUUCAAAAUGAAGUCUAAAAGUGUACAAUUUCUACUCCUAUGCAAGUUUCCUCUUCUUAGAUUUGACCUCCUAUUCUGGACUAUAAAAAUGGAGACUCCAUAGAGAAAAAUUGAAGUAACUGAGAAAAGAACACAUUGCCAAUUGCUGUGUUCUAAGAUAGACUCUCAUUUAAGGCUGUAUAUGCAUACUGGAUAGUGGUUUUUAAAUGUAUGUCAUUCAAAAAGUGGAACCAUAUGCUGUUCUGCAAUAAUACCUAUGUUUUUACUGCUACAGUAGGUGUAGAAUGCUAUAAUGCACAUAGGGCUAGAAUAGAGAGCAGGAAUCUGAGGGAGGAGUUUUAGCUUUGCCAUUACCUAGAUGUAUAAUCUUAUAAUAGUAAUUGGACCUUUGUGGGCCUUAGUUCCCUCAUUUAUAAAAUGAAAAACACAGACUAGAUUAUUUGUAAUAUCUUUCCUAACUCCAAAAAUCAAGGCUUCCUCAUUCCACUGUGACUCUUUUUUUUUAAAUUAAUUUCAUUGUUUUUGUUUUAAGUUCUAGUAUACAUGUGCAAAAUGUGCAGGUUUGUUACAUAGGUAUACAUGCGCCAUGGUGGUUUUCUGCACCUAUUAACACAUCUUCUAGGUUUUAAGCUCCACAUGCAUUAGGUAUUUGUCCUAAUGUUCUCUCUCCCCUUGCCUCCCACCCUGACAGGCCCCCAGUGUGUGAUGUUCCCCUUCCUGAGUCCGUGGGUUCUCAUUGUUCAACUCCCACUUGUGAGUGAGAACACGUGGUGUUUGGUUUCCUGUUCCUGUGUUAGUUCGCUGAGAAUGAUGGCUUCCAACUUCACCCAUGUCCUUGCAAAGGACAUGAUCUCAUUUUUUAUGGCUGCAUAGUAUUCCAUGGUGUAUAUGUGCCACACUUUCUUUAUCCAGUCUAUCAUCAAUGGGCAUUUGGGUUGGUUCCAAGUCUGUGCUAUUGUGAAUAGUGCUGCAAUAAACAUUGAUGUGCAUGUGUCUUUAUAGUA